rnacentral:rRNA from 1 species
AGCCCACUUGUGGGUGGAUUAGUGGCGAACGGGUGAGUAACACGUGAGUAACCUGCCCUUGACUCUGGGAUAAGCCUGGGAAACUGGGUCUAAUACCGGAUAUGACCUUCCAUCGCAUGGUGGUUGGUGGAAAGCUUUUGUGGUUUUGGAUGGACUCGCGGCCUAUCAGCUUGUUGGUGAGGUAAUGGCUUACCAAGGCGACGACGGGUAGCCGGCCUGAGAGGGUGACCGGCCACACUGGGACUGAGACACGGCCCAGACUCCUACGGGAGGCAGCAGUGGGGAAUAUUGCACAAUGGGCGCAAGCCUGAUGCAGCGACGCCGCGUGAGGGAUGACGGCCUUCGGGUUGUAAACCUCUUUCAGUAGGGAAGAAGCGAAAGUGAC